rnacentral:lncRNA from 1 species
CCAUGGUUCAAACAAAUUUGAAACGGCCUAUCACAUAGCUCAAUUAUCGUAGGCUUAGGUUCAUAAUCCCCCUUUAAUUAAUUAACACUUUAACUAAUUAAUUUGAAUGCAACAUUUUAAUUUGGUUUUUGUAUCCAUAAAAUUGAUUUAAAUGGAGCUAAACAAAAUGAAAAUCCAAUUCUCAUUUAAAGAGACAAAACAAUUUUGUUCUCUACCUAAUUUGGGCCAUAAAGCAAUUAACCUCAACUUUUGGGCUAUAUUGCAAAAACAUAAACUUUUGGGGUCACUUUGUAAAAACACAAAAGUCCACUACUUCAUGUAAAUACAAGUAGAACCCAAAAUUUAAACAAUGCAAAAACUUCAUUAAAGGAACAAAACAAUUUGUCCUUUAGCGUUUUUGGACCUAAACGUAAAAACGUAAACUUUUGGGCCAAAGUGCAAAUACACAAAAGUAUCAAAACUUUAUGUAAUUGCAUAAAAGCCCCAAAAGUACUCCCACUUGAGGGAGGGCCGGUUUUGGAUAGGAGAAAUGAGUGAUGUGUGUGUUGAUUGCUAAGUUAGACAUAAAGCAUGCAAGUGGUGCAUGACAUAAAUGUCAUGCAAGUGGUGUGUGUGAAAGGGAAUUAAUCCUUACACACCCAUCACCAUUUCUUACACCAUUUAAACAAAUAUCUAACACAUUAAAUCAUUGGAAAAACAUAAAACAUAAACCUUAUGAAAUAAAUCAAAACUUUGAAUCAAAACACAAAACUUUUUGUUCUUGGCAAAAAUGUCAAGAACAAUGAAGAACAUUCAUGAAAAAACCCAAAAAUUUCCAUGAACAUUUUUACUCCAAAAACAUCCCAAAACCAUUCAAACUUUAGGGAAAUAACAUA